rnacentral:rRNA from 1 species
GGCGCGAAAACUUUACAAUGCUGGCAACAGCGAUAAGGGAACCUCGAGUGCCAGGUUACAAAUCUGGCUGUCGAGAUGCCUAAAAAGCAUUUCAUAGCAAGGGCCGGGCAAGACCGGUGCCAGCCGCCGCGGUAACACCGGCGGCUCGAGUGGUAACCGUUAUUAUUGGGUCUAAAGGGUCUGUAGCCGGCCGGAUGUCUCUUGAGAAAUCUGGCAGCUUAACUGUCAGGCUUUCAGGAGAUACUGUCUGGCUCGAGGCCGGGAGAGGUGAGAGGUACUUCAGGGGUAGGGGUGAAAUCUUGUAAUCCUUGAAGGACCACCAGUGGCGAAGGCGUCUCACCAGAACGGACCUGACGGCAAGGGACGAAAGCUAGGGGCACGAACC